rnacentral:rRNA from 1 species
GCAUAUCAAUAAGCGGCGGAAAAGAAACCAACAGGGAUUGCCCCAGUAACGGCGAGUGAAGCGGCAACAGCUCAAAUUUGAAAUCUGGCCCCUCGGGGUCCGAGUUGUAAUUUGUAGAGGAUGCUUUUGGUGAGGUGCCGCCCGAGUUCCCUGGAACGGGACGCCACAGAGGGUGAGAGCCCCGUCUGGCUGGCCACCGAGCCUCUGUAAAGCUCCUUCGACGAGUCGAGUAGUUUGGGAAUGCUGCUCAAAAUGGGAGGUAUAUGUCUUCUAAAGCUAAAUAUUGGCCAGAGACCGAUAGCGCACAAGUAGAGUGAUCGAAAGAUGAAAAGCACCUUGAAAAGAGGGUUAAAUAGUACGUGAAAUUGUUGAAAGGGAAGCGCUUGUGACCAGACUUGGGCGCGGCGGAUCAUCCGGGGUUCUCUCCGGUGCACUUCGCCGCGUCUAGGCCAGCAUCAGUUCGUCGCGGGGGAAAAAGGUUUCGGGAACGUGGCUCCUCCGGGAGUGUUAUAGCCCGUUGCAUAAUACCCUGCGGUGGACUGAGGACCGCGCAUCUGCAAGGAUGCUGGCGUAAUGGUCACCAGCGACCCGUCUUGAAACACGGACCAAGGAGUCGUCUUCGUAUGCGAGUGUUCGGGUGUCAAACCCCUACGCGUAAUGAAAGUGAACGCAGGUGAGAGCUUCGGCGCAUCAUCGACCGAUCCUGAUGUUCUCGGAUGGAUUUGAGUAAGAGCAUACGGGGCCGGACCCGAAAGAAGGUGAACUAUGCCUGUAUAGGGUGAAGCCAGAGGAAACUCUGGUGGAGGCUCGCAGCGGUUCUGACGUGCAAAUCGAUCGUCAAAUAUGGGCAUGGGGGCGAAAGACUAAUCGAACCUUCUAGUAGCUGGUUUCCGCG